UACGAAGGGGGCUAGCGUUGCUCGGAAUCACUGGGCGUAAAGGGCGCGUAGGCGGUUCGAUAAGUCAGCUGUGAAAACCAUGGGCUUAACUCAUGGCCUGCAGUUGAGACUGUCGGGCUGGAGUGUGGGAGAGGAGAGUGGAAUUCCUGGUGUAGCGGUGAAAUGCGUAGAUAUCAGGAGGAACACCGGUGGCGAAGGCGGCUCUCUGGACCACAACUGACGCUGAGGCGCGAAAGCUAGGGGAGCAAACAGG
rnacentral:rRNA from 1 species